AGUUGAGGGUGACCUGUCUGUAACAUCUGCUGCCCUGUUUAUCCCUAGGGUUGUUUAUCUUGAUCUGGCUGGCCAGGUGUGUGUCCUCUUCCCUCUCUAUGUGCAUCCCUUCACAAACUGUUCUCCAAUCAAGGGUAAAGGAGAAGCUGUCCUCCCCUACUAGAACCUCCUAGCCAGUUCUUCAGGCAAUUUAAAAAUAUCAUUUACGAUUUUUGUGAAGAUUAAUGU
rnacentral:sRNA from 1 species